AUCUAGAAAUCUUAAAAUCACUAACUAUUUGUAACUGCCCAUUGAUGUUAAUUUUUAGAGCAUUCUCGGUGAAUAAAUCCUCAACUGCCUCAAAUGUGCGAUGGUCCUGAGCGGGGCGAGGCCAGAGGAAACUUUGAUGGAGGCCCGCAACGAAACUGACGUGCAAAUCGUUCCUUUAACUUGGGUAUGGGUGCAAAAGACUAUCGAACUGUCUAGUUGGUUCCCUCCAAAGUUUCCUUCAAGAUAGCUGGAGCCCGUAAACGAGUUCUAUCAAGUAAAGCCAAUGAUUAGAGGCAUUGGGGGAGGCAUUGGGGGCGCAAUGCCCUCGACCUGUUCUCAAACUUUAAAUAGGUAGGAACGAGUGGCUGCUCCGUCGAGUCACUCCACAGAAUCGAGCGCUCCAAGUGUGCCAUUUUUGGUAAGCAGAACUGGCGAUGCGGGAUGAAUCGAAAGCCGGGAUACGGUGCCGAAUUACGCGCUAACCCAAAACCCACAAAGGAUGUUGGUUGAUUAAGAAGCAGGACGGUGGUCAUGGAAGUCGAAAUCCACUAAGAAGUGUGUAACAACUCACCGGCCAAAUCAACUAGCCCCGAAAUGGAUGGCAUUGAAGUGUGCAACCCACACUCGGCCGUCAGGGCGAUUGCCAUGCCCCGAUGAGUAGGAGGGCACGACAGUUGCUGUGAAACCUGGGGCACGAGCCCUAGCGGAGCAGCCGUCGAUGCAGAUCUUGGUGGUAGUAGUAAAUAUUCAAAUGAGAACUUUGAAUGCCAAAGUGGGAAAGGUUCCAUGCGAACGGCAGUUGCACAUGGGUUAGUUGAUCCUAAGAGUCGGGGGAAGCCCAUCCGAGAGCACUGCUAGCAUGAGCUUCGACAGGAAAUCGGGUUAAAAUUCCUGAACCGGGACAUGGCGGCAGACGACAACGUUAGGGAGUCCAAAGACGUCGUCGAGGGCUUCGAGAAGAGUUAUCUUUUAUGUUUAACAACCUGCCCACCCUGGAAAUGGCUCAGCUGGAGGUAGGGUCCAGAGGCUGGAAGUGCACCGCAAAUUGCGUGGUAUCCGGUGUGACUCCGGCGGCCCAUGAAAAUAUGGAGGACCGAGUGCCGCGCACGCCCUGUCGUACUCAUAACCACAUCAGGUCUCCAAGAUGAACAACCUCUGGUC
rnacentral:ncRNA from 1 species